rnacentral:misc_RNA from 1 species
GUCAAAACUAUGGGUGUUAUGUUGGGAAUUGGAAUGAACGGAGCGGCUCUGCAAGAAACAGCUAUGGCUAAAAACAGCAAAAAUGGUAAUCGAGACUUGGUCAAGAAGAUCAAAAAGCCAAAAAUUGUCCAUUCUUAUCGCUUCGUGCGCGCCUCACUCUCUUUUUGCCCCUCACUAUUUGUAUCCUCUCCCCCCCUUUCCCUUUCCCUUGCGGAGGCAUUGGGCUAGGGCUCUAGUUGUGGCAUUCUGGCAUGAGUGCUUGAUUUUACUGCACUUUUUCUGUGUCGCCAAUUA